GGAGACGUCCUGAAUUCGAACGGGAGGUUCGCCCCCUCGUUGGGGCGGCCUUCGGGAUUCAGCCUAGCUCGGGCGGGUGUCGACUCAACUGCCAGACGGCGCCGGACGACCGCUCGCGACGACGACUCGCGGUGCGGACCCGAUCCCGGCUGCUGCUCGGCGGACGAAGCUGGACCCGAUCACCCGGGUGGUGCACUUCCCCCCCAGUAGAAGCGUCGCGACCCGUUGGGUCGUCGGUCACAGGGCCCGGGGAGGCAGGCCGCUUCGCGGUCCCGAUUCGUUCGGGGCCCGGACGGACCCCCGGUCGUCCCGGCCGGCGCCCGACGGUAGAACGGUGGAGGCGGUCCGCAGAAUGGAUGCGUCCGGGCCGGCGACCGCGCGCGGGUGCCCGGGGUAACGGUGCUAGCCACCUUCCCCGGCACUUCGCCGCGUGUCCGUCGAGCUCCUCGGACGGGACCCUGGCUUCCGGUCGCGCGACGCAGCGACCUUCGGACGGUCUCCCG
rnacentral:rRNA from 1 species